GUGGGGAAUAUUGCGCAAUGGGGGAAACCCUGACGCAGCAACGCCGCGUGAGCGAAGAAGGUUUUCGGAUUGUAAAGCUCUGUCUUUAGGGACGAUAAUGACGGUACCUAAGGAGGAAGCCCCGGCUAACUACGUGCCAGCAGCCGCGGUAAUACGUAGGGGGCAAGCGUUGUCCGGAUUCACUGGGCGUAAAGAGCACGUAGGCGGUUAAUUAAGUCAGGUGUGAAAGUUUUCGGCUCAACCGGAAAAGUGCACUUGAAACUGGAUAACUUGAGUAUCGGAGAGGUAAGCGGAAUUCCUAGUGUAGCGGUGAAAUGCGUAGAGAUUAGGAAGAACACCGGUGGCGAAGGCGGCUUACUGGACGAUAACUGACGCUGAGGUGCGAAAGCGUGGGGAGCGAACAGGAUUAGAUACCCUGGUAGUCC
rnacentral:rRNA from 1 species